rnacentral:rRNA from 1 species
AACCUCCGCAAUGUGAGAAAUCGCGACGGGGGGAUCCCAAGUGCCAUUCUUAACGGGAUGGCUUUUCUUAAGUGUAAAAAGCUUUUGGAAUAAGAGCUGGGCAAGACCGGUGCCAGCCGCCGCGGUAACACCGGCAGCUCUAGUGGUAGCUGUUUUUAUUGGGCCUAAAGCGUUCGUAGCCGGUUUGAUAAGUCACUGGUGAAAUCUUGUAGCUUAACUGUGAGAAUUGCUGGUGAUACUGUUGAACUUGAGGUCGGGAGAGGUUAGCGGUACUCCCAGGGUAGAGGUGAAAUUCUGUAAUCCUGGGAGGACCACCUGUGGCGAAGGCGGCUAACUGGAACGAACCUGACGGUGAGGGACGAAAGCCAGGGGCGCGAACCGGAUUAGAUACCCGGGUAGUCCUGGCCGUAAACGAUGCGGACUUGGUGUUGGGAUGGCUUUGAGCCGCUCCGGUGCCGAAGGGAAGCUGUUAAGUCCGCCGCCUGGGAAGUACGGUCGCAAGACUGAAACUUAAAGGAAUU